UUUGAUCCUGGCUCAGGAUGAACGCUGGCGGCGUGCUUAACACAUGCAAGUCGAACGAUGAAGCUUCCUGCUUGCAGGAAGUGGAUUAGUGGCGAACGGGUGAGUAUCACGUGAGCAACCUGCCCUUGACUCUGGGAUAAGCCUGGGAAACUGGGUCUAAUACCGGAUAUAACCUCUUACCGCAUGGUGAGUGGUGGAAAGCUUUUGCGGUCUUGGAUGGGCUCGCGGCCUAUCAGCUUGACGGUGAGGUAGUGGCUCACCGUGGCGAUGACGGGUAGCCGGCCUGAGAGGGUGACCGGCCACACUGGGACUGAGACACGGCCCAGACUCCUACGGGAGGCAGCAGUGGGGAAUAUUGCACAAUGGGCGAAAGCCUGAUGCAGCGACGCCGCGUGCGGGAUGACGGCCUUCGGGUUGUAAACCGCUUUCAGCAGGGAAGAAGCGCAAGUGACGGUACCUGCAGAAGAAGCGCCGGCUAACUACGUG
rnacentral:rRNA from 1 species